rnacentral:misc_RNA from 1 species
UAAACACCUCAACCUCUCUUUUUGACAAAAAAAGGGAGGGUGGACUUGAGCUAUCCCAACGACCUUCACCGGUAGGCGGGCGGCUUGAAAUGCAGGUGCAGCUGGACUUUUAUCUGAGCUAAAAGCAUAUCUAUUUAGUCCUCGUCAAACAGGAUUAUUACUUUUGCUGCAGCUAACAUAAAGGAUAAUUGUCCUCUUUGCUGACUGAUGCAGGAUUUUACGACACUUUAUGUGUUGUUCA